UGGCCAAACAUUCCCGAAGAUUAGCCAUGUAUGUGCCAAGUUCAACGUGUAACGUGAGACUGCGGACGGCUCAGUAUAUCAGUGAUAAUCUGUUUGAUUGUUGAUCCCAUUGGAUAACCGUGGGAAAUCUAGAGCUAAUACAUGUGUUACAAUUGGUGGGUUCGCCUACCAAAGCAUUUAUUAGAGUUGACCAGCUACUAUACGCAAGUAUAGUAAGAGGAAUCUAGAUAACUUUGCUGAUCGCAUGGCCUUGUGCCGGCGACGUUUCAAUUGAGUUUCUGCCCUAUCAACUUGUUGGUAAGGUAUUGGCUUACCAAGGUUGCAACGGGUAACGGGGAAUCAGGGUUCGAUUCCGGAGAGGGAGCCUGAGAAACGGCUACCACAUCCAAGGAAGGCAACAGGCGCGCAAAUUACCCAAUCUAGACAGUAGGAGGUGGUGAAGAGAAUUACUAAGUGGUGGUUUUAAAAACUACCAGCUUGGAAUGAACGUAACUUAAGCAAUUCGAUGAGAAACAACUGGAGGGCAAGUCCUGGUGCCAGCAGCCGCGGUAAUUCCAGCUCCAGUAGUUUGCUUUAAAGUUGUUGCGUUUAAAACGCUCGUAGUUGGAUCACGCAACAGUGCCACGUAAUCAUUCGCUAGCCGGUGGAGCGCUAUGACCGUUUAUGACGGCGUACGCAAAUCCAGCAGCGAUGAGUUAAACGCGUGACACUGUUAGUUGCAUGUGAGAUGGUUUGUUGACCUUUAAUGUGUUGAUAUUCUUGUCUCGCGGAGUGUGCCUUGAAUAAAACAGAGUGCUUAAAGCAGCCGUAUGCUUGAAUGUUAUAGCAUGGAACGAACAAUCGGGUUACCGUGUUAUGCUGUUAAGUAAUGGUUGGCCACUGGUUGGCUAUUGCUUGCAGUGUACAAUAUCACCCACCAAAGUAUGGCUGUUGGUUCCAUAUACGGUGAUGAUUAAAAGGAGCGGUUGGGGGCAUCGGUAUUUGGCCGCGAGAGGUGAAAUUCUUGGACCGGUCAAGGACUAACAAAUGCAAAGGCACUUGUCCAGACCGUUUCCAUUAAUCAAGAACGAAAGUGGGAGGUUCGAAGACGAUCAGAUACCGUCCUAGUUCCCACUGUAAACUAUGCCGACCUGGGAUCAGUCUGCAGAUAUCACAAGCUGUAGAUUGGUCCCUCUGGGAAACUUGAAGUUUUUCGGUUACGGGGAGAGUAUGGUCGCAAGGCUGAAACUUAAAGGAAUUGACGGAAGGGCACCACCAGGGGUGGAGCCUGCGGCUUAAUUUGACUCAACACGGGGAAACUUACCUGGUCCGGACAUUGAUAGGAUACACCGACUAAUAGAUCUUUGUUGAUGCAAUGAGUGGUGGUGCAUGGCCGUUCUUAGUUCGUGGAGUGAUCUGUCGGCUCAAUUGCGGUAACGAACGAGACCACAGUCUUCAUUUAAGAAACGGAAGUAGGUAACGUGUUGGUGGGGUUCACACCCAGCCAAUGUGUUGCUGUUGGCAGUAAAAGUGAUCUUUGUGGGGUGUGGUAGGGGGGCGACUUUCUGUCACAUCUCAUUCUGCAUUGUUUUAGACUCCCUUCCGUCAUGUAGUCAUUAGUAUCCUCUAAUGACUGCCUUAUGGAGAGACAACGAGGUAUAUUUUAAGCUCGAGGAAGAGUGGCUAUAACAGGUCAGUGAUGCCCUUCGAUGUUCAGGGCUGCACGCGCGCUACAAUGAUAACGACAGCGAGUAUCUGUGUCGAAAGACACUGGUAAUCUUUAAUCGUUAUCGUGAUGGGGAUUGACCGUUGUAAUUAUCGGUCAUGAAAGAGGAAUCCCUAGUAUGCAUAUUUUAUUAGAAUGUGCAGAUUGAGUCCCUGCCCUUUGUACACACCGCCCGUCGCUACUACCGAGUGAAUGGUGUCAUGAUGCCCUGGGACUGGACGUCUUGCGGGUCUUCGGACUUGUUCGGACUUGUUAGAUGCUAGGAUC
rnacentral:rRNA from 1 species